AAGGGUAUAGCUCAGUGGCAGAGUAUGUGCUUAGCAUGCGUGAGGUCCUGGGUUCAGUCCCCAGUACCUUCG
rfam:Camelus ferus unplaced genomic scaffold scaffold1085, whole genome shotgun sequence.